UGUGGGCUUGCAUGGUGGCCAUUAAAGCCUC
rnacentral:piRNA from 2 species